UACGUAGGGUGCAAGCGUUGUCCGGAAUUAUUGGGCGUAAAGAGCUUGUAGGCGGUUUGUCGCGUCUGCUGUGAAAUUUCGGGGCUCAACCCCGAACUUGCAGUGGGUACGGGCAGACUAGAGUUCGGUAGGGGAGUCUGGAAUUCCUGGUGUAGCGGUGAAAUGCGCAGAUAUCAGGAGGAACACCGGUGGCGAAGGCGGGACUCUGGGCCGAUACUGACGCUGAGGAGCGAAAGCGUGGGGAGCGAACAGG
rnacentral:rRNA from 1 species